ACAAACUGAGCGACUAGUCUUCUCACCUGCCUACAUCCCCCAGAAUGCUGUGCGGUUCUGGAUCAGACUCUAGAUGUAAGCAGUGAAAAAAGACCUAAACAAAUCCAUCCAUCCAUAUUGAAAUAAAAAGGCCCAGGUGGUAAUUAGAUCCCCAGUGAUGAGGAAGGGAAGGACGGAGUCCCACAGAGGGCUGUGUGGAUGAAACUGCGUCCGUCCUCCCCACUUGAACGACUCCCUGAAAGCCUUGAGUUAUAUUCCUGCAAUUAGCUAAGUAUCCACAGAGGCUCCCUGUCCCUGUCGACUUUCCAGCUCAUCCCUGUAGAUACGACGCAACAACGAAAAACAGCAACAAGACGAACCAACAGGGGGAAAAGAAAAAUCAACGCAUCAGAAAACAAACUUUACACAAUGACCCCGCUUCUUGUUCGUAACUUUUUUUUCCCCUUACACCUUGCAUCUUUUCUUCUGUCACGAGCAUAAAGGGUAACGGCAAUCCAUCCCUUUUUUCCUCUUCCAAGGAUAAUGAUUUACAAAAUGCCUCUCAUCAAAGAAUUCAU